AUGAACGCUAGCGGCAGGCUUAAUACAUGCAAGUUGAGGGGCAGCAUGAUAACGCGAGUAUAUUGAUGGCGACCGGCGGACGGGUGAGUAAUAGGUAGGAGACCUACCUCAUACAGGGGGAUAGCAUAGAGAAAUCUGUGGUAAUACCCCAUGAGGUUAGUAUGAAUAGAGGCAUAUAAUCAAAGCAUAAGCGAUUAUGCGGUAUGAGAGGGGCCUAACUGACCAUUAGCUAGUUGGUGAGGUAAGGGCUCACCAAGGCGAAGAUGGUUAGGGGUUUUGAGAGAGAGACCCCCCACAUUGGAACUGAGAGACGGUCCAGACUCCUACGGGAGGCAGCAGUAGGGAAUAUUGGGCAAUGGGCGAAAGCCUGACCCAGCCAUGCCGCGUGAAGGAAGACGGCCUUAUGGGUUGUUAAACUUCUUUACUACGCGAAUAGAGGUUAGUACGAGAUACUAAUAGGAAGGUAGUGUAGUAAAAAGCACCGGCUAACUCCGUG
rnacentral:rRNA from 1 species